rnacentral:piRNA from 1 species
AGUGCUUGUCGGGAAGGCUCUGGC